GGCUCGGUAGUCCAGGGAAUGAUUCUCGCUUAGGAUGCGAGAUGUCCCGGGUUCAAGUCCCGACCGAGGCCA